GACGAACGCUGGCGGCGUGCUUAACACAUGCAAGUCGAACGGAAAGGCCCUGCUUUUGUGGGGUGCUCGAGUGGCGAACGGGUGAGUAACACGUGAGUAACCUGCCCUUGACUUUGGGAUAACUUCAGGAAACUGGGGCUAAUACCGGAUAGGAGCUCCUGCUGCAUGGUGGGGGUUGGAUAGUUUAGGCGGUUGGGGAUGGACUCGCGGCUUAUCAGCUUGUUGGUGGGGUAGUGGCUUACCAAGGCUUUGACGGGUAGCCGGCCUGAGAGGGUGACCGGCGACAUGGGGACUGAGAUAGGGCGCAGACUCCAACGGUAGGCAGCAGUGGAGAAUAUUGCACAAUGGGCGGAAGCCUGAUGCAGCGACGCCGCGUGCGGGAUGACGGCCUUCGGGUUGUGAACCGCUUUCGCCUGUGACGAAGCGUGAGUGACGGUAAUGGGUAAAGAAGCACCGGCUAACUACGUG
rnacentral:rRNA from 1 species